rnacentral:tRNA from 1 species
UGCGCGAGUGGCGGAAUAGGCAGACGCGCACGGUUCAGGUCCGUGUGCCCGUGAGGGCGUGGGGGUUCAACUCCCCCCUCGCGCACCAA